UACGAGCUGUGCAAACGUUAUUCGGAAUCACUGGGCGUAAAGGGCGUGCAGGCGGUCUGUUAAGUGCAGGGUGAAAGCUCCCGGCUCAACUGGGAGAGGUCCUUGCAUACUGGCGGACUUGAGGGGGGUAGAGGAAAGUGGAAUUCCCGGUGUAGUGGUGAUAUGCGUAGAUAUCGGGAGGAACACCUGUGGCGAAGGCGGCUUUCUGGGCCCUACCUGACGCUGAGACGCGAAAGCGUGGGGAGCGAACCGG
rnacentral:rRNA from 1 species